rnacentral:rRNA from 1 species
AUGAACGCUGGCGGCGUGCCUAAUACAUGCAAGUCGAGCGAACGGACGAGAAGCUUGCUUUUCUGAUGUUAGCGGCGGACGGGUGGGUAACACGUGGAUAACCUACCUAUAAGACUGGGAUAACUUCGGGAAACCGGAGCUAAUACCGGAUAAUAUUUUGAACCGCAUGGUUCAAAAGUGAAAGACGGUCUUGCUGUCACUUAUAGAUGGAUCCGCGCUGCAUUAGCUAGUUGGUAAGGUAACGGCUUACCAAGGCAACGAUGCAUAGCCGACCUGAGAGGGUGAUCGGCCACACUGGAACUGAGACACGGUCCAGACUCCUACGGGAGGCAGCAGUAGGGAAUCUUCCGCAAAGGGCGAAAGCCUGACGGAGCAACGCCGCGUGAGUGAUGAAGGUCUUCGGAUCGUAAAACUCUGUUAUUAGGGAAGAACAUAUGUGUAAGUAACUGUGCACAUCUUGACGGUACCUAAUCAGAAAGCCACGGCUAACUACGUG